AGUCACUGACAUUAGAUACCCGUGUAGUCCAGGGUGUAAACGCUGCGGGCUUUGGUGUUGGGGGGUCCUUUUGAGGGCGCCCAGUGCCGGAGAGAAGUUGUUAAGCCUGCUGCUUGGGGAGUACGUCCGCAAGGGUGAAACUUAAAGGAAUUGGCGGGGGAGCACCGCAACGGGAGGAGCGUGCGGUUCAAUUGGAUUCAACGCCGAAAAACUCACCAGGAGCGACGGAUAUAUGAAGGUCAAGCUGAUGACUUUACCUGAUUUUCCG
rnacentral:rRNA from 1 species